rnacentral:rRNA from 1 species
UACAGAGGUCCCAAGCGUUGUUCGGAUUCACUGGGCGUAAAGGGUGCGUAGGCGGUCGGGUAAGUCUGAUGUGAAAUCUCACCAGCUUAACUGUGAAACUGCAUUGGAUACUAUUCGGCUUGAGAGUUGGAGGGGGGACUGGAAUUCUUGGUGUAGCAGUGAAAUGCGUAGAUAUCAAGAGGAACACCAGUGGCGAAGGCGAGUCCCUGGACAACUUCUGACGCUGAGGCAACGAAAGCUAGGGGGAGCAAACAGG